rnacentral:lncRNA from 1 species
CAAAGUUUUCCAUCCUCAUAAGUGAGAUAAAAUAUUUCCCCAAAUUAUGCACCUAAACAGUCGAAAUUACGGACAGGUUUCAAAGAGACAAACUAUGUAAACGUUAUAAUUUUCCCUAUUAAUAAAUUGUGACAAAAACCUCGAAACUUUUGUAACAUUUUACACAAAGUGUAGCACAGCAAGUAAGGGCGCUAUAAAAUAUUAUGAAAACAGGACAGAGGAUUGGAAGAAAGUAUCGAACUUGGUGAUUGAAUGGGUAUCCAAGGUGGAGAGCAAGGAGGCAUAGCUGCGAUUCUCUUUAAUGAAUUGGAGGUCAUCGUCGGAAACCUCAACUUCAUCCUCUGGGAUAUCCGGUGGAAGCUCCGGCGGAAGAACGAUUUUCUGCUUCUUCUUCCCCAUUGGUUGGAUGUAUGAGACUGAGGUUUUUCUAGGGUUUACUGUUAGUCAAGGUGUGAGACAACACACAAAUUUAUGAGAUUUAUAUUUAUUAAUAUUUACGAUUAAGUACCAAGUUAGAAUUAAAAUAUAAAUUACUUUAUUAUAA